ACUCCUACGGGAGGCAGCAGUAGGGAAUAUUGGUCAAUGGGUGAGAGCCUGAACCAGCCAUGCCGCGUGCAGGAAGACGGCCUUCUGGGUUGUAAACUGCUUUUACCAGGGGAUAAACGACUCUGCGGAGUUAAUUGAAGGUACCUGGAGAAUAAGCACCGGCUAACUACGUGCCAGCAGCCGCGGUAAUACGUAGGGUGCAAGCGUUGUCCGGAUUUAUUGGGUUUAAAGGGUGCGUAGGCGGGCUAUUAAGUCAGUGGUGAAAUCCAGCAGCUUAACUGUUGAUGUGCCAUUGAUACUGGUAGUCUUGAGUACAGAUGAGGUAGGCGGAAUUGACAGUGUAGCGGUGAAAUGCAUAGAUAUUGUCAAGAACUCCGAUAGCGAAGGCAGCUUACUGGGCUGUAACUGACGCUGAUGCACGAAAGUGUGGGGAUCAAACAGGAUCAGAUACCCUGGUAGCGAGUAG
rnacentral:rRNA from 1 species